rnacentral:rRNA from 1 species
UACGUAGGGUGCGAGCGUUAAUCGGAAUUACUGGGCGUAAAGCGUGCGCAGGCGGUUUUUGUAAGCCAGAUGUGAAAGCCCCCGGGCUCAACCUGGGAAUGGCAUUCAGGACUGCGAGGCUUUGAGUGCGGCAGAGGGAGGUGGAAUUCCACGUGUAGCAGUGAAAUGCGUAGAGAUGUGGAGGAACACCGAUGGCGAAGGCAGCCUCCUGGGCCAGCACUGACGCUCAUGCACGAAAGCGUGGGAGC